CCGCGGCGCCUGUUUUGCCUGGAUCCUCCUGCAGGCCCUCUGCUGUGGGCGCUGAGUCCCAGCCAGAUCCCCUUCCCGGGAAUAUAGUGGCACUGCCAAUACUUUUCCAAGUCAGCCUGGAACCCUCGCCAGCCCGGUCCCGACAGGAUGACCACGCAGAAGAGUUGCAGGGAGGGAGCUCGCCAGGAUGCUCAGGCCGUGCGUUUUAAUGGUGCUGGCUGUCUGGAGCAAGCCCCAGUUGCUCUUGUGAGAACAGGCUCUGAAGCAGUUGACGACAUUCCGCAUCUCUACUCGGAGCAGGGAGCGGGGAAGGCGGCUGGAGGCUCCUGCCCAGCCUCCCACCCAGCCUCCCGCCCUGCAUCCAU